rnacentral:rRNA from 1 species
AGCAGCCGCGGUAAUUCCAGCUCCAAUAGCGUAUAUUAAAGUUGUUGCAGUUAAAAAGCUCGUAGUUGAAUUUCGGGGUUAGUAGGUUGGUCGUGCCACUGGUAUGCACUGGCCUCACUGAUUCCUCCUUCUUGAAGAACUGUAAUGCCAUUAAUUUGGUGUUGCAGGGAAACAGGACUGUUACUUUGAAAAAUUAGAGUGUUUAAAGCAGGCUAACGCUUGAAUACAUUAGCAUGGAAUAAUGAAAUAGGACGUUUGAUCCUAUUUUGUUGGUUUCUAGGAUUGACGUAAUGAUUAAUAGGGAUAGUUGGGGGCAUUAGUAUUCAAUUGUCAGAGGUGAAAUUCUUGGAUUUAUUGAAGACUAACUACUGCGAAAGCAUUUGCCAAGGAUGUUUUCAUUAAUCAAGAACGAAAGUUAGGGGAUCGAAGACGAUCA